rnacentral:rRNA from 1 species
GAUGAACGCUGACAGAAUGCUUAACACAUGCAAGUCAACUUGAACUUCGGUUUGGGUGGCGGACGGGUGAGUAACGCGUACAGAACUUGCCUCACAGCUAGGGACAACAUUUGGAAACGAAUGCUAAUACCUGAUAUUAUGAUUAUAUGGCAUCGUAUAAUUAUGAAAGCUAUAUGCGCUGUGAGAGAGCUUUGCGUCCCAUUAGCUAGUUGGAGAGGUAACAGCUCACCAAGGCGAUGAUGGGUAGCCGGCCUGAGAGGGUGAUCGGCAACAAGGGGACUGAGACACGGCCCGUACUCCUACGGGAGGCAGCAGUGGGGAAUAUUGGACAAUGGACCGAGAGUGUGAUCCAGCAAUUCUGUGUGCACGAUGAAGUUUUUCGGAAUGUAAAGUGCUUGCAGUUGGGAAGAAAAAAAUGACGGUACCAACAGAAGAAGUGACGGCUAAAUACGUG